GCUCAUAUCAGUGUGUGUAUGUGAAAGAGAUGACCAACAGGGGUAAAAGGAAAAAGAAGGAAAGGCUAGAGCAAAAAUCUUGUAAUUGGAAGUGAAUCAAUGGUUUAGGGCUUGAAAAUUUUCUAUGUGGUGAAGAAGCACAACAGGAAGUCAAUGGCUCGGUGGAGGAACUCAAGAUCGGAUCAAUCCUACGGCAAAGGUGACCAUUUAAUAUUCUACAUAAAAAAAAUAUAUAAUUAUGAUAUGAAGUGUAAAUAGCUUGACUAUUUCGUGGUAUUAUGUAUAAAUUGGACCAAUUCAUGGCUAUGUAAUAUGAUUAUUUAUUUGAUCAUGUUGCAAGUUCUUACAUGGACA